GAUGAAGAACGCAGCGAAAUGCGAUAAGUAAUGCGAAUUGCAGAAUCCGUGAGUCAUCGAAUCUUUGAACGCACAUUGCGCCCCCUGGCAUUCCGGGGGGCAUGCCUAUCCGAGCGUCAUUGCUGCCCUUCAAGCCCGGCUUGUGUGUUGGGUCGUCGUCCCCCCCGGGGGACGGGCCCGAAAGGCAGCGGCGGCACCGCGUCCGGUCCUCGAGCGUAUGGGGCUUUGUCACCCGCUCGAUUAGGGCCGGCCGGGCGCCAGCCGGCGUCUCCAACCUUCUAUUUUACCAGGUUGACCUCGGAUCAGGUAGGGAUACCCGCUGAACUUAAGCAUAUCAAUAAGCGGAGGA
rnacentral:misc_RNA from 1 species